rnacentral:rRNA from 1 species
GAUGAACGCUGGCGGCGUGCCUAAUACAUGCAAGUCGAGCGAACAGACGAGAGUGCUUGCACUCUCUGACGUUAGCGGCGGACGGGUGAGUAACACGUGGGUAACCUACCUAUAAGACUGGGAUAACUUCGGGAAACCGGAGCUAAUACCGGAUAAUAUUUAUCUUCGCAUGAAGCAAUAGUGAAAGACGGUUCUGCUGUCACUUAUAGAUGGACCCGCGGUGUAUUAGCUAGUUGGUGGGGUAACGGCUCACCAAGGCAACGAUACAUAGCCGACCUGAGAGGGUGAUCGGCCACACUGGGACUGAGACACGGACCAGACUCCUACGGGAGGCAGCAGUAGGGAAUCUUCCGCAAAGGACGAAAGUCUGACGGGGCAAUGCCGCGUGAGUGAAGAAGGUUUUCGGAUCGUAAAACUCUGUUGUAAGGGAAGAACAAGUACGUUAGUAACUGAACGUACCUUGACGGUACCUUACCAGAAAGCCACGGCUAACUACGUG